GAAAGCCGCGGGUGUGCUGGGGACGGGCCCGCCGUGGUGUUUGGGCAGGGAUUUCUCCUUCCGUGCGGCCGUUUCCACGCUGGGCGCCGGCGGGCGCCGCUGGAGACACGAGGGGCGGUGCGGGCAGGGGAUGCCAGGACUUAAGAUGGCGCCGGGGGGGGGGGGGGGCGCCGUGAGGAAGCCGGUGCGUGAGGAGAUCCGUGAUGGCGGAGGAGAACUCUGGUGUCUGAGGAGAGCCCCGGUGUCUGAAGAGAACUCCGGUGUCUGAGGAGAACUCUGCUGUUCGCAGAAGCCCCGCAGCGCUCAGGACCGCGCGGGUCGCGCCCCCGGGGCUGCUCCCCCGUGAGGUGCCGCCAUGAGCGCCCCGCUGCCGCCCGGCCUCGGCCCCGCAGCCCUCCGGGGCCGGCUCGUUCCUUAUUAAACGAAAUUUGAAGUUCGCCGCCUUGCUUGGCGUCCGUGGUGUGCGCUUACCGAGGGGACGGGGCAGGGGGAUCAACGCCUGCUGCUCGGCUCCCUGGCUCUGCGCAGCCGUUGGGGAUUGGCGAGGGAGUUGCGGAGCUUUGUGCUGUGGGGGGAUUGCUGCUCCGCCUCGCUGCCGGGCAGAAAGGAGAAAAAGGCAGAAAAGAGCCCGGCCUCGCAUGCCCCAGCGCCGGCCGGGGCAUGCAGCAGGGUCAGGCCGUGCUGUUCAGGGCCGGAGCUACGCUCCCCGGUGUCCCAGGCUCCUAAAGCAGUGCUUUCUCACAGACUUUUAAAAAUGUUUUGACGGCCUCUUUGUCUCUGGUGUCUGGAAACAAGAACACAUGUUGUAUGACCAUCCAGCUCUUCGUAGAUUACUGUCAAAUGCUCUGGGUCAUGGGGACUCAGCGAUUCCUGGGGGCUGUCAAACUGAUGACACGCAGCAAACCAGCCGGUGUGUCUCUGCCUGCUGCUUAGCGUAAGCGCUGAUAUGUCAGUCAGACUUUACUAUCAAGUACAGGCUUAUGUGCGCCUGAAAUGUUUUGCAGCUUUCGACUCAUUGGUGUACUCAGUAAUUUAAAAGCUUUCACAUACUCUAAAAAAUGUUGUCUUGCAGUGCAAGGGCUAUCUUUGUUCCUAAUACAGAGCCUGAGCCUGCAAGUCCUUUGUGGAAGACCAGGCUCCAGCAUAGAUGUACAAUUGUUAAGCAGUCGGUUGCAUUUCAACCGUGGUAAAACGAUCCUUGUUUUAUAUUUCCAUACAAUAAUUUCUGUAAAGGCUGUGAGAUUCUUUCAGAUGGAGGGCUAUAAAAAUCUAAGU